AAACCUACGGGAGGCAGCAGUGAGGAAUAUUGGUCAAUGGCCGAGAGGCUGAACCAGCCAAGUCGCGUGAGGGAAGACGGCCCUACGGGUUGUAAACCUCUUUUGUCGGGGAGCAAAGCGAACCACGUGUGGUUCAUUGAGAGUACCCGAAGAAAAAGCAUCGGCUAACUCCGUGCCAGCAGCCGCGGUAAUACGGAGGAUGCGAGCGUUAUCCGGAUUUAUUGGGUUUAAAGGGUGCGCAGGCGGAGGCACAAGUCAGCGGUAAAAUCGCGGGGCUCAACCCCGCUCCGCCGUUGAAACUGUGU
rnacentral:rRNA from 1 species